GAAUCAGCUUUCCUUAAAGCUACCUAUAGAAUGAAAUGCAUAUAGU
rfam:Eurypyga helias contig34434, whole genome shotgun sequence.